AGCACGUGCUCCAGACCUUUCCACAGCAAGUCAGUGGAGAUGUUGCUAAGUCAAAACCCGCUUUUUGCAGACAGAACAGUGCGCAAGUGUUUGUUUUCUUGAGUACCUAACUAAAGUUGCCACAUACAGCAAAUGAAUAUUGACUUAAGCACAGUUGCCAAGGCAAGAGCCAUGUGAAGCUGAGGAAUUCCUUUUCCAACUGUUUGCAGGAACAGGUUCAGCUGCAGGAAGUGGCUGGUGUGAAACUGCACAGCAAAUCCCCAGGCCUGGGGCUCUUGUUCCUGUCAGUCCAUUGCCUCCUGCUUCAUUUUCCCCUGCAGCCCUUUGGCACUUGCUUUGCAGCGGAGAGGAGGAUGCUUUUGCAGCCAGAAGCCAGCUCAUCCCUGCUACCACGGGGAGCCGCAGCCACAGACUGAAACCACAGCUCACCAGCAAAUGCAAAACAAUGUGCAAAACAUGUUUUAAUGUCAGGUUUUUAUUAAAAGUGGACUAAGAGAUUAAGAUGUUCAUCUGCCUUGCAGGGAGUGACUUUAUAAAUCUCAGCUUGCGUGCACUCGUGGAGCGUUGCUAAUCACCAGGCUGGAUCCACAUCACGUGUGCACGGACUGCUUGCUCAUGGAAAGCUCUCUUUCUCCCGGCAGUGAGAGCUGGGGCUCAGUGAGACCUCCUGGGGCUUAAUGUAGGUUCCCACUGACACAGAGUUA
rnacentral:lncRNA from 1 species